GUCUUCGCCAACAUUUGGGUUUGAGACCCUACCCACCUCCCUCUCACCCCCAAGCCCCUUUUCCCUGGCGGAUGCCUUACCACCGUCAUUCCUUUAUCUAAAAUUUUCCUUUCCUUUAUACUCACUGGUGCCUUGUUAGGAAACGAAUCUGGGUUCAGCCUCAGGCAUCUGAAGCUUCUGGGAGAAGAAUAGAAUGGGACGGUAUAGAAAAACAACUGAGUGUGGAAUUCAUAAACUGAAGUUCAGAUGUGUUAAAACUUUUGCUCACAUCGUCACAGCCAGAAAUUGGUAAAGCCAAGAUUUAAACUCAGCUUUAUUUAUGUUUUUCUUAAACCACUCUGCCUGCCAACUCUAAGCUCAUCAACAAGAAGCAAGCGGGCAGUUUAUACUAACAGUCGACCGGACUGUGCCAGAUGAGCCAAUACCUCUGACAGGAGCAUCCUUAUCCCCACAAGCCUGGUGUCUACGGAAGUCCAAGCACCUGAGUGUGAAACCACGACACUGAUUUCAGAGUAGAUUGGCUGCUGGGGAGACAAUGCAAUCCAGUGUGAACUCAAGUGAGAAGGGCCAGAGAGGCUGUCUCCUGAUGGAUGUGGUUCUCACAAGGCUAGUUGUCUGAUAACAAAAUAAAUGGGAUUUAUUGAUGGGGUUCACUUACUUUAUGCAAAUGAUUCCACCCCAUGCAUUUAUCCCUUUGUUGUAUGGGGUUUUGCCUUGGUAAAAUAUAUCAGCUCCAACCACCAGGGAAAAUAAAUCUCACUGGCCAUUCAGAAAGCAGACUCCAGAUUCAGAGCUGGAUGAGACAACCUUUGAGUGAAAUCAGUGGGCUGCUGAGCACCAGGGAAUUCAGAUGUUUAUCCAGCAAACAGAUGAUGAUUUAUAGCCGGGAGAGAGAGACACAGACGAGAGAGAGGCACCCUGAAUUGUACUUGUAUUCAAAGACUGUGCCUUAAAGGCUUAAUAUUUAAAGAGCUGUCAGAAGAUUAGGGUUGAAUCAACAAUUCAUCAAUAUUUUGAGAAGGUGAUCAACAGAACUCUGCUGACCAGCGGUUGGUGAUCAUUCGAUAUUCAUCGACAUCUAUUCCACUCAGCAGCAGGCACUUUGAGAGGCACUGGAGAUGAUCACACCUGGAGAACCUCAGCCUCUGCCUUCAAGGGGACACGAAAAUCCAUGAUGAAAUGCCAUGUGAUACGUGCUAUGAUUCCAACAUAUGACUCAGCCCUCCCAAUUUCAUGUCAUCUGAAAAUAUGGCAUACAUGCCUUCCAUGUCUUCAUCCAGGUCCAUGAUAAAAAUUGUCAAAGGAGAGAGAAAACUUUGGCACAGUACCAGAGAUCUUCAUCCAAACAAUCUCAAAUCGUUCAUCAGCUAUGAAUCUACCUAACAUGACAGGAUCCAGCCCACAUUUCUAUAUUAAUAUCACAAGACUCCAUCAAAUGCCUGAAAAAAUGAAGAAGGGCAACAUUCUAUGCAGGGAGGAAUAAUGAGAAAAAGAGCAGAGAAACAUGUGAUCUAUUUCUCAUAUGGAGAAUAUUCUCUCUGUAUUAAAAAAUUAAUA
ensembl:lncRNA